CCUACGGGAGGCAGCAGUGGGGAAUAUUGGACAAUGGGCGAAAGCCUGAUCCAGCAAUUCCGCGUGUGUGAAGAAGGCCUUCGGGUUGUAAAGCACUUUAGGUUGGGAAGAAAAAACUUCUCCUAAUACGAGAAGCGUUGACGGUACCAACAGAAUAAGCACCGGCUAACUCUGUGCCAGCAGCCGCGGUAAUACAGAGGGUGCAAGCGUUAAUCGGAUUUACUGGGCGUAAAGCGUGCGUAGGUGGUUUCGUAAGUCGGAUGUGAAAGCCCCGGGCUCAACCUGGGAACUGCAUUCGAUACUGCGAGACUCGAGUUUGGUAGAGGGUGGCGGAAUUCCCGGUGUAGCGGUGAAAUGCGUAGAUAUCGGGAGGAACAUCAAUGGCGAAGGCAGCCACCUGGGCCUGAACUGACACUGAGGCACGAAAGCGUGGGUAGCAAACAGGAUUAGAUACCCUGGUAGUCCACGCCGUAAACGAUGAGACUGACGUUGUUACGUUUACGAUCGGUGUCGUAGCUAACGCGAUAAGUUCUCCGCCGUGGGAGUACGGCCGCGAGUAGAACGUACUAAUAGUAGUUGAGUCGUUGAGAGNGCGACGGCGACGACGAGGGAGGAGG
rnacentral:rRNA from 1 species